CACAUCUCUGACUGCACAUCUCUGACUGCACAUCUCUGACUGCACAUCUCUGACCUCACAUCUCUGACUCCACAUCUCUGACCUCACAUCUCUGACUGCACAUCUCUGACUGUACAUCUCUGACUGUACAUCUCUGACUCCACAUCUCUGACUGUACAUCUCUGACUCCACAUCUCUGACUGUACAUCUCUGACUGCACAUCUCUGACUCCACAUCUCUGACUGCACAUCUCUGGGUAGGAGAGGAGAGCCGAGUCCUUAUUUCCAGGCUGGACAGUCUCUCUGCUGCUUUGACUGAUGGCUUCCAGCCUGGUUGGGAACAAGUGUUACAUGGAAACCUGGUUGAUUUCCUAUAACUCCUGCAUUUCAUGUUUAGACUCCUGUGGCUCAUACAACAGUAUUACAGCUAUCUACCUAUAUUACAGUAACAACACUCAAGGACUAUUUCAGGAUUUCUUUAUUAAGAUUAAAAGUAUAGGCUUUUGUGUCAAAUGCUGUUUUAGCAGUAUUGUAGUUUGAUACUGGAGUCAGGCUAGAGAGGUAAUGUUUUUUGCUUGAUUUUUAUAACAGGAAGUGUACUUACGUGGGACUAACUCUACUUCUAAGACUUCUUCGAUGUUAGGUAGGCCUAAUGUAUCCUGAAUUAAAUGACAUAUACCCCACACCAUUUACUAGAUGUUAGGUAGGCCUAAUGCAUCCUGAAUUAAAUGACAUAUACCCCACACCAUUCACUAGAUGUUAGGUAGGCCUAAUGCACCCUGAAUUAAAUGACAUAUACCCCACACCAUUUACUAGAUGUUAGGUAGGCCUAAUGCAUCCUGAAUUAAAUGACAUAUACCCCACACCAUUUACUGGAUGUUAGGUAGGCCUAAUGUAUCCUGAAUUAAAUGAUAUAUACCCCACACCAUUUACUGGAUGUUAGGUAGGCCUAAUGUAUCCUGAAUUAAAUGACAUAUACCCCACACCAUUUACUAGAUGUUAGGUAGGCCUAAUGCAUCCUGAAUUAAAUGACAUAUACCCCACACCAUUUACUAGAUGUUAGGUAGGCCUAAUGCAUCCUGAAUUAAAUGACAUAUACCCCACACCAUUUACUAGAUGUUAGGUAGGCC
ensembl:lncRNA